GAUGAACGCUGGCGGCGUGCCUAAUACAUGCAAGUCGAGCGACCAGACGAUGAGCUUGCUCCUCUGCCGUUAGCGGCGGACGGGUGAGUAACACGUGGAUCACCUACCUCUAAGACUGGGAUAACUUCGGGAAACCGGAGCUAAUACCGGAUAAUAUAUUGAACCGCAUGGUUCAAUAGUGAAAGACGGUUUUGCUGUCACUUUUAGAUGGAUCCGCGCCGCAUUAGCUAGUUGGUAAGGUAACGGCUUACCAAGGCAACGAUGCGUAGCCGACCUGAGAGGGUGAUCGGCCACACUGGAACUGAGACACGGUCCAGACUCCUACGGGAGGCAGCAGUAGGGAAUCUUCCGCAAUGGGCGAAAGCCUGACGGAGCAACGCCGCGUGAGUGAUGAAGGUCUUCGGAUCGUAAAACUCUGUUAUUAGGGAAGAACAAAUGUGUAAGAAACUAUGCACGUCUUGACGGUACCUAAUCAGAAAGCCACGGCUAACUACGUG
rnacentral:rRNA from 1 species